rnacentral:tRNA from 2 species
CGGGCUGUGGCGCAGCUUGGUAGCGCGCUUCGUUCGGGACGAAGAGGCCGCGAGUUCAAAUCUCGCCAGCCCGAC